UACGUAGGGAGCAAGCGUUGUCCGGAAUCAUUGGGCGUAAAGCGCGUGUAGGCGGCUUGAUAAGUCUGCUCUGAAAGCCCGGGGCUCAACCCUGGGAGGCGGGACUGGGAUACUGUCGAGCUCGAGUCCGGAAGAGGCGAGUGGAAUUCCUGGUGUAGCGGUGAAAUGCGCAGAUAUCAAGGAGGAACACCAAUGGCGAAGGCAGCUCGCUGGGACGGUACUGACGCUGAGACGCGAAAGCGUGGGGAGCAAACAGG
rnacentral:rRNA from 1 species